rnacentral:rRNA from 1 species
UGGCAGUGCGGCAGCUAUACAUGCAGUCGAGCGGACAGAUGGGAGCUUGCUCCCUGAUGUUAGCGGCGGACGGGUGAGUAACACGUGGGUAACCUGCCUGUAAGACUGGGAUAACUCCGGGAAACCGGGGCUAAUACCGGAUGGUUGUUUGAACCGCAUGGUUCAGACAUAAAAGGUGGCUUCGGCUACCACUUACAGAUGGACCCGCGGCGCAUUAGCUAGUUGGUGAGGUAACGGCUCACCAAGGCGACGAUGCGUAGCCGACCUGAGAGGGUGAUCGGCCACACUGGGACUGAGACACGGCCCAGACUCCUACGGGAGGCAGCAGUAGGGAAUCUUCCGCAAUGGACGAAAGUCUGACGGAGCAACGCCGCGUGAGUGAUGAAGGUUUUCGGAUCGUAAAGCUCUGUUGUUAGGGAAGAACAAGUGCCGUUCAAAUAGGGCGGCACCUUGACGGUACCUAACCAGAAAGCCACGGCUAACUACGUGCCAGCAGCCGCGGUAAUACGUAGGUGGCAAGCGUUGUCCGGAAUUAUUGGGCGUAAAGGGCUCGCAGGCGGUUUCUUAAGUCUGAUGUGAAAGCCCCCGGCUCAACCGGGGAGGGUCAU